rnacentral:pre_miRNA from 1 species
GGAGCUCCUGCAGGGGCGAGAUGGGAACACAUGCCGUUGCCGGGCGCUGUCGCCGCCGCCGCGCAUGUGUUCUCAGGUCGCCCCCGCCGGGCCUUC